rnacentral:rRNA from 1 species
AUGGUUAAGCAAGAAGACUUCAAUGCUUAUUUUGGUAGAGAAUUAAAACGCAAUGCUGAUAUGCUUGAACACUUGGGUGAUUAUAUGGCUAAUGUCAAAGGUGAACUUAAACUUAUUAGUAAACAUGCUUCUAUGGUUACCACUCAAGUAGAACAAGUACUUAAAGCUCAAAAUGAUUUGCUCAGUGAAUUGAAUAGAAAGAAUAAGGCCUAUGUUGUUAGAGUGGCUACUAGAACUGGUAAAAUGACUCGGGAACCUUUGUAUCCUGAAGGCCACCCUAAGAGAAUUGAGCAAGAUUCUCAGAGAAAUAAUACAGAUGCACCUAGUCCUUCUAAAAGGAAGAAAAAGAAAAAUGAUAGGACUUUGCAUGCUUCUAGUGAACCUAUUGCUGAAACACCUGAGAAUCCAAGUGAUAUUUCUAUUUCUGAUGCUGAAACACAAUCUGGUAAUGAACCUGAAACUAGUGAUAAUGUUAAUGAUAAUGUUCAUGAUGAUGCUCAACCUAGCAAUGAUAAUGAUAUAGCAAUUAAACCUGCUGUUGAUCUUGAUAACCCACAAUCAAAGAAUCAAUGUUAUGAUAAGAAAGAUUUUGUUGCUAGGAAACAUGGUAAAGAAAGAGAACCAUGGGUUCAAAAACCCAUGCCUUUUCCUCCCAACCCAUCCAAGAAAAAGGAUGAUGAGGAUGUUGAGCGCUUUGCUGAAAUGAUCAGACCUAUCUUUUUGCGUACGCGAUUAACUGAUAUGCUCAAAAUGAAUCCUUAUGCUAAGUACAUGAAAGAAAUUGUUACUAAUAAAAGAAAGAUACCGGAAGCUGAAAUUUCCACCAUGCAUGCUAAUUACACUUUUAAGGGUGGAAUACCUAAGAAGUUAGGAGAUCCAGGAGUACCCACUAUACCAUGCUCCAUUAAAAGAAAUUAUGUUAAAACUGCUUUAUGUGAUCUUGGAGCCGGUGCUAGUGUUAUGCCUCUCUCGUUAUAUCAUGGACUUGAUUUGAAUAAGUUGACACCGACUGAAAUAUCUUUGCAAAUGGCUGAUAAAUCAACUGCUAUACCUGUUAGUACUUGUGGGGAUGUGCCUGUUGUGGUUGCAAACAUUACUAUUUUAACGGACUUUGUUAUUCUUGAUAUUCCCGAGGAUGAUAGUAUGUCUAUUUUUUUGGAAGACCCUUUUUGA